UCUUUGGACUCCACCUCAUAUUGAAAGACCCCCGAAGGGAGACCCUCACUCAAGCACUCAAGCCCCGGGACAGCCGCGGACCCAAGAAGACACUGAGACCG
rnacentral:pre_miRNA from 7 species